rnacentral:rRNA from 1 species
CGGCGGACGGGUGAGUAACACGUGGGUAACCUACCUAUAAGACUGGGACAACUUCGGGAAACCGGAGCUAAUACCGGAUAAGAUAUCGAACCGCAUGGUUCGAUAGUGAAAGAUGGUUUUGCUAUCACUUAUAGAUGGACCCGCGCCGUAUUAGCUAGUUGGUGAGGUAACGGCUCACCGAGGCAACGAUACGUAGCCGACCUGAGAGGGUGAUCGGCCACACUGGAACUGAGACACGGUCCAGACUCCUACGGGAGGCAGCAGCG